UGCCUCUCGACUCAACAAUGAGAGGUUCAUCCUGCCCAAUGACAACAUAGUUUAAUGGCCGCGGUACCCUGACCGUGCAAAGGUAGCAUAAUCAUUUGCCCCUUAAUUAGGGGCUAGCAUGAAAGGACACACGAAAGCUUCCCUGUCUCACAAUAACAAAUAAAAAUUAAUCUUCAAGUGAAAAAGCUUGAAUGAAACUGCAGGACAAGAAGACCCCGUUGAGCUUUAUUCUCUAUAGACUAAAUCAAAUAUUAAAUAUAUCAUAAACCUAAAAAGAAUUUAGUUGGGGUGACUAAGGAACACCAAAAACUUCCUUUUAUUAAUUAGGAUUAUUCUCCAUAUAAAUUGACCCAUUACAUAUGAUCAAAAAAAUAAGCUACCACAGGGAUAACAGGCUAAUCUUUCUCAAGAGCCCAAAUUGUCAGAAAGGAUUGGCACCUCGAUGUUGGCUUAGGGGCCCCUAAUGGUGCAGAAGCCAUAAAUGGUAGGUUUGUUCAACCUUUAAAACCCU
rnacentral:rRNA from 1 species